ensembl:lncRNA
AGAGAGUCCGAGAGACAUUUACAAGAAGAAGGAAAGAUAGAAAAACAGACUGGACACUACAUACUGGUGUCCAUUUCUCCAUCCCUGUAUGUGUCUCUUUCUCUGGAACGGCUAACCGUGUGUGUGUGUGUGUGUGUGUGUGUGUGUGUGUGUGUUGAUUGGAGCUCCAUAGGCCAAAUUCAGCCAUGUGCACCACAACAAUGGUCCUGAUCUCACUGGCGGUGCUGCUGUACCGAUACUUCUGCAACAGAGCACAACUGUUGCCGUGUUGUUGGUGCCAGAGUGCUUGAGUGGUGUACACCAAAACUGCUGAGCAGCCGGAUUCUCCUGGAGAGACAGAGACCCCGAAGACCAGCAGUGAAAGAGACACGGCGGGAAAUGAAGACAUUCAGUGACGUGGCACGAUCUGUGCAGGCAGUUUUUGUUUGCUGCCCUGCAAUGGACUGGCAUCUCAUCUAGGGUGUGAUCCCAGGAUAGGAUGCACCACCACUGACUUGCUAUGGCUGUUAUUUCUGCAGCUUUUUCCCAAUCCCAUGGGCUGGACAAGCAGGCAAACACAGCUGGAGGAGGAGAGAACGAAAUCUGAACCUGCUCUUAUCUAAACCAUCUGCUCUGCUGCCUGAUACACGAUAGUUCGUGACUUACACGCACAUAUACAAGUGGUCCUUCUGUCCAAGGAAGUUCUAAUCCUGAGAAUGUGAUCUCUGCCUUAUCAACAGCGUCUCCCCAUUACAAAUUCAGAGAACUUCACCCCACCAGCUGGUGUGUGAAGUUCUGAAUGGUAAAUUACCCAUGAAAUCAAAAUGCAAGUUUCAGAGUGUGUGUGUGUGUGUGUGUGUGUACAUUUCUCUAGCUGCUGUAGACACCUUUAUAGGCGUAUAUACUGAUGCACAAUGCAAAAAUCUUGUGUUGUUGAUACUCUCAUUAUAAAUGUAAGGUUUUUUUUAAUUCUCUUGAUGAAUCAUUCUGCAAUCAAUCCUCUUACCGAACCUUCUAGAAUGCUUAUGUCCCUCCUUCAGUACCACAAAUCCUGCUGAUUAUUAAUUGUUUAGGUGGAGGUGUGGUGUAUCUUAAAGGUGUCAUUCUAUACACAUCAGUAUUCUGUAUUUUUCACUAUUCUACACACGUCAAUAUUCUGUACUUUUCAUAUUCUAUACACGUCAGUAUUCUAUACAUGUCAGUAUUCUAUACACGUCAGUAUUCUGUACUUUUCAGUAUUCAGUACACGUCAGUAUUCAAUACACGUCAGUUUUCAAUGCACUUCAGUAUUUCCUACACCAGUAUUCAGUACACACUGGUAUUUCCUACACUCCAGCUUUCUGUACAGUACCAAACCUACACUGGAGUGUUCAAAACCAAGAAUCUGAAUAUGUUUCAAUGGCCCAGUCAAAUCCCAGAUCGCACUCUGACUGAAAAUCUGUGUCAAGACUUGAAAAUAGCUGUUUACCUAUACAGCUUGAGCAAUUAUACCAAGAAGAAUGGACAAAUAAAAAAUAUCCGCCAACGGAG